CGGCCCGCACAAGCAGCGGAGCGUGUGGUUUAAUUCGAUGCUACACGAAGAACCUUACCAGGGUUUGACAUGCAAGUGGUAGGAAGCCGAAAGGUGACCGACCCUUCGGGGAGCUUGCACAGGUGCUGCAUGGCUGUCGUCAGCUCGUGUCGUGAGAUGUUCGGUUAAGUCCGCUAACGAGCGCAACCCUCGCUGUGUGUUAUAUGUGUCACACGGGACUGCCGGUCUUAAGCCGGAGGAAGGUGGGGAUGAUGUCAAGUCAGCAUGGCCUUUAUAUCCUGGGCUACACACACGCUACAAUGGCCAACACAAUAGGUUGCUAAGCCGCGAGGUGGCGCCAAUCCAUAAAGUUGGUCUCAGUUCAGAUUGUAGGCUGCAACCCGCCUGCAUGAAGAUGGAGUUGCUAGUAACCGCAGGUCAGCUAUACUGCGGUGAAUACGUUCCCGGGGCUU
rnacentral:rRNA from 1 species